UUUGGGAAGGGAGAUUAGGAGAUUAAGGUUGUACAUGUACAAACCGCCUGCGAGAUGCCCGUGAACAGACAAGAUACUGCGGCCGCUUUGCGCCUGAUGGAAGAAUCGCUCUUGUUGGACCAGAACUUCCGGCACAAAGCGGAGAAACUCCUGGGGAUCUUCCAGAGUGAACUCUUCCAAGCCUUGCUGGAUAUCCAAGAGUUUUACGAAGUCACGGUUUCAGAGGCCUGCCCCCCGACUUCGCGGAGGUCUCGG